rnacentral:rRNA from 1 species
CUACGGGGGGCUGCAGUCGCGGAACUUUUACAAUGCACGCAAGUGUGAUAAAGCGAACCAAAGUGUUUCUCGUUUAGAGAAACUUUUUCUUACUGUAAAAAUGUAGGAGAAUAAGGACUGGGAAAGACUGGUGCCAGCCGCCGCGGUAAUACCAGCAGUUCAAGUGGCAUCCAUUUUUAUUGGGUCUAAAACAUCCGUAGCUUGCCGUUUAAGUCUCUUGUGAAAUCCUACGUCUCAAGCGUGGGGCUUGCAGGAGAUACUGAGCGGCUAGAGAUCGGUAGACGUAAGGAGUACGCCGGAGGUAGUGGUAAAAUACGUUAAUCUUCGGUGGACUAACAAUGAGCGAAGGCACCUUACGAGGACGAAUCUGACAGUGAGGGAUGAAGGCCAGGGGCGCAAAACGGAUUAGAUACCCCAGUAGUC